rnacentral:tRNA from 1 species
GCCGGGUUAGCUCAGUUGGUUGAGCGUGGUGCUAAGAAUGCCAGGGUCGCAGGUUCGAUCCCUGCUCACGGCA